rnacentral:rRNA from 1 species
CCCUUAGAUGUUCUGGGCUGCACGCGCGCUACACUGAUGCGCUCAACGAGUUUUAACCUUGCCUGGAAAGGUUGGGUAAUCUUUUUAAAACGCAUCGUGAUGGGGAUAGAUUAUUGCAAUUGUCCCCCAUGAACGAGGAAUUCCCAGUAAGCGCGAGUCAUCAGCUCGCGUUGAUUACGUCCCUGCCCUUUGUACACACCGCCCGUCGCUACUACCGAUUGGAUGGUUUAGUGAGACCCUCGGAUCGGUCCCGACUCGGGGUGGGCUUCUGCCCCGGUCGUGGUUUCGCCGAGAAGACGGUCAAACUUGACUAUCUAGAGGAAGUAAAAGUCGUAACA